rnacentral:lncRNA from 1 species
GUAUGAAAGAAGAUUGUCAUGAAUUGGUUUGUAUAUUGUCUAAAGUGUAUUAUACAUAGCAAAGGUUUGUUGCAACGUUCAUGAGUGCUUAUGAAUAUGAUUUGAGUAUUGGAUUAUGUCACACCCCAAAACCAAGAACGGCGGAAACGUUCUGGGGCGGAGGACGCCAUGUAUAAUAUCAACAACAAUGUAAAGUAGUAAAACAAGCAACAACAUCAUCCAUUGAAUUAAUAAAAUAAUUAUUAUACAAUUGUAUUCUGUCAAAUUUUGAUAAACAAUAAAGCAUAAAUCAAAAUGAAAGAUAAGUCUUGAACAAGCUCCAUCUUCCUUUCUCCUUGCAUCGGUACCUGUCUAUGAUGACCUGAGGAUACAAGUAAUUUUGAAAGCGAGUAUCAGCUUUAAAGCUGGUGANAAGCUCCAUCUUCCUUUCUCCUUGCAUCGGUACCUGUCUAUGAUGACCUGAGGAUACAAGUAAUUUUGAAAGCGAAUAUCAGCUUUAAAGCUGGUGAGUUCAUAAGUAUUU